rnacentral:rRNA from 1 species
UGGUGGAGUGAUUUGUCUGCUUAAUUGCGAUAACGAACGAGACCUUAACCUGCUAAAUAGCCAGGCUAGCUUUGGCUGGUCGCCGGCUUCUUAGAGGGACUAUCGGCUCGAGCCGAUGGAAGUUUGAGGCAAUAACA